rnacentral:rRNA from 1 species
AUUGAACGCUGGCGGCAGGCCUAACACAUGCAAGUCGAGCGAGCGGCGGACGGGUGAGUAAUGUCUGGGAAACCGCCUGAUGGAGGGGGAUAACCACUGGAAACGGUAGCUAAUACCGCAAACUAUCAGAUGUGCCCAGAUGGGAUUAGCUAGUAGGUGGGGUAAAGGCUCACCUAGGCGACGAUCCCUAGCUGGUCUGAGAGGAGGACCAGCCACACUGGAACUGAGACACGGUCCAGACUCCUACGGGAGGCAGCAGUGGGGAAUAUUGCACAAUGGGCGCAAGCCUGAUGCAGCCAUGCCGCGUGUGUGAAGAAGGCCUUCGGGUUGUAAAGCACUUUCAGCGAGGAGGCGUUACUCGCAGAAGAAGCACCGGCUAACUCCGUGCCAGCAGCCGCGGUAAUUC